rnacentral:rRNA from 1 species
GCAAGCGUUAAUCAGAAUUACUGGGCGUAAAGCGCACGUAGGUGGAUUAUUAAGUCGGAUGUGAAAUCCCUGGGCUUAACCUAGGAACUGCAUCCGAUACUGGUAAUCUAGAGUAUAGUAGAGGGGAGUGGAAUUUCCGGUGUAGCGGUGAAAUGCGUAGAUAUCGGAAGGAACAUCAGUGGCGAAGGCGGCUCCCUGGAUUAAUACUGACACUGAGGUGCGAAAGCGUGGGUAGCAAACAGGAUUAGAGACCCUGGUAGUCCACGCCGUCAACGAUGAGAACUAGCUGUUGGGGGGUAUAACUUCUUAGUAGCGAAGCUAACGCGUUAAGUUCUCCGCCUGGGGAGUACGGCCGCAAGGUUAAAACUCAAAGGAAUUGACGGGGGCCCGCACAAGCGGUGGAGCAUGUGGUUUAAUUCGAUGCAACGCGAAGAACCUUACCUACUCUUGACAUCCUAGGAAUUCUUUAGAGAUAGAGAAGUGCCUUCGGGAACCUAGAGACAGGUGCUGCAUGGCU